GGAUGAACGCUGGCGGCGUGCCUAACACAUGCAAGUCGAACGAGGUCGUUUUUAAAUGAAGUUUUUCGGAUGGAUUUUAAAACACCGAGUGGCGGACGGGUGAGUAACGCGUGCGUAACCUGCCUCAUACAGGGGGAUAACGAUUGGAAACGAUUGCUAAUACCGCAUAAGCGCACAGUACCACAUGGUACAGUGUGAAAAACUCCGGUGGUAUGAGAUGGACCCGCGUCUGAUUAGCUAGUUGGUGAGGUAACGGCCCACCAAGGCAACGAUCAGUAGCCGACCUGAGAGGUUGAACGGCCACAUUGGGACUGAGACACGGCCCAGACUCCUACGGGAGGCAGCAGUGGGGAAUAUUGCACAAUGGGGGAAACCCUGAUGCAGCGACGCCGCGUGGAGGAAGAAGGUCUUCGGAUUGUAAACUCCUGUUGUUGAGGAAGAUAAUGACGGUACUCAACAAGGAAGUGACGGCUAACUACGUG
rnacentral:rRNA from 1 species